rnacentral:rRNA from 1 species
GGAAUUCCUGGUGUAGAGGUGAAAUUCGUAGAUAUCAGGAAGAACACCAAUGGCGAAGGCGACUUCCUGGACCAAUACUGACGCUGAGGCGCGAAGGCGUGGGGAGCGAACAGGAUUAGAUACCCUGGUAGUCCACGCUGUAAACGAUGAACACUAGGUGUAGCGGGUAUUGACCCCUGCUGUGCCGCAGUUAACGCAUUAAGUGUUCCGCCUGGGGAGUACGGUCGCAAGAUUAAAACUCAAAGGAAUUGACGGGGGCUUGCACAAGCGGUGGAGCAUGUGGUUUAAUUCGACGCAACGCGAAAAACCUUACCUGGAUUUGACAUCUUGGGAAUUUUAUUGAAAAAUAAAAGUGCCCUUUUGGGAAGCCUGAUGAGAGGUGCUGUAUGGUUGUCGUCAGCUCGUGUUGUGAGAUGUUGGGUUA